UAUUUAUUUGUGAAACGAUUUGGCUGAUGAAGAAAGUAGUUUUUUGCAUAUAGAUUACACACAUAUGGGCUGAUCUAUCUUUCCUAAUAAAUUUCCCAUUUGUUUCAGGUAUAAAAUUUUCUCAUCUAUUUGCAAACAAGUUUGGCAAAUCACAGUACAAAGGUGCUUGAAAAAUUUCAACUCUGCAAGUUGGAAAAAAAAGGAGGGUUUCAAAAUACUGUGCUUUCACGCUUUGGCGUCUUUGUCUUUGUGUUUGAAAGAUUUCUGUACUAAAGCUCUUCGCUUUUCCUCGUAACAAUUUGUUUUCAACAUGUCUAAAAGAUCUAUAAAUGCGUUGGUCAAUGAUGAUAACAACAAAAAACAAACAAAUAGUGAUAAUGAAUAUAAUGUCUUGGUUCAGUGUGACCAUCAGCCAAGAAAAGUGUGUAGAACCAGUUAUCUUGAAAAUCAUGAAAACGCUGUUUUAUCUCAGAUUGAUACAUUUCUUCGAACUCCAUAUUUUAAACAUCAGUGUAGUAGUAGUGGAUCAGCUGUUGUACAAUGCGAUUUGAAAAAUGCUAAUUAUGAUAAAGUGCAGCAUACUGCAUCUGUUGAAAAAAUUGUUCAGCCUUCUGAUCGAAAAGGUAAAAAACCUAUUAAUUUGUUGGAUAAUUCUGAUAACAUGGCUGAAAAAACGAUUGAUCCUCAAAAUUACAAUCUUAUGAACAAGGGCCAAGCAUUCUUCCAGAAAAGCAGAACUGGGGUUUUAAAAGAUUAUGUGGAUUUUGGGGAUAAGAAUUAUAAAUGUAGUCACUGCGGUGCCUAUUUUUUUUUGGUUGAAAGAGUCUCUUAAGCAAGUAUGUAAAAAAGAUGAACCUAUUUUCACUCUUUGUUGUCAACAAGGAAAAAUUGCUUUUCCAAAUCCAAAACCAACACCGCCUUUUUUAGAAUCUUUGCUUGAUCCAAAUGGUGGUCCAAAAAGUUUAUCAUUUCGAGAAAAUAUUAGAGCUUACAAUUCUAUGUUUUCAUUUA